rnacentral:rRNA from 1 species
ACGAACGCUGGCGGCGUGCUUAACACAUGCAAGUCGAACGGUGAACGAGGGAGCUUGCUCCCUCCGGAUCAGUGGCGAACGGGUGAGUAACACGUGAGCAAUCUGCCCCGAACUCUGGGAUAAGCGUUGGAAACGACGUCUAAUACCGGAUACGACGCGGGAGGGCAUCCUCUCCGCGUGGAAAGAACUUCGGUUCGGGAUGAGCUCGCGGCCUAUCAGCUUGUUGGUGAGGUAACGGCUCACCAAGGCGACGACGGGUAGCCGGCCUGAGAGGGUGACCGGCCACACUGGGACUGAGACACGGCCCAGACUCCUACGGGAGGCAGCAGUGGGGAAUAUUGCACAAUGGGCGCAAGCCUGAUGCAGCAACGCCGCGUGAGGGAAGACGGCCUUCGGGUUGUAAACCUCUUUUAGCAGGGAAGAAGCGAAAGUGACGGUACCUGCAGAAAAAGCACCGGCUAACUACGUG